rnacentral:rRNA from 1 species
AUUGAACGCUGGCGGCAGGCCUAACACAUGCAAGUCGAACGAGUGGCGGACGGGUGAGUAAUGUCUGGGAAACUGCCCGAUGGAGGGGGAUAACUACUGGAAACGGUAGCUAAUACCGCAUAACAUGGGAUGUGCCCAGGUGGGAUUAGCUAGUAGGGGGGGUAAAGGCUAACCAAGGCGACGCUCCCUAGCUGGUCUGAGAGGAUGACCAGCCACACUGGAACUGAGACACGGUCCAGACUCCUACGGGAGGCAGCAGUGGGGAAUAUUGCACAAUGGGCGCAAGCCUGAUGCAGCCAUGCCGCGUGUGUGAAGAAGGCCUUCGGGUUGUAAAGCACUUUCAGCGGGGAGGCGUUACCCGCAGAAGAAGCACCGGCUAACUCCGUGCCAGCAGCCGCGGUAAUAC